AUUGAACGCUGGCGGCAUGCCUUACACAUGCAAGUCGAACGGCAGCACGGGAGCAAUCCUGGUGGCGAGUGGCGAACGGGUGAGUAAUAUAUCGGAACGUGCCCAGUCGUGGGGGAUAACGCAGCGAAAGCUGUGCUAAUACCGCAUACGAUCUACGGAUGAAAGCGGGGGAUCGCAAGACCUCGCGCGAUUGGAGCGGCCGAUAUCAGAUUAGCUAGUUGGUGAGGUAAAGGCUCACCAAGGCGACGAUCUGUAGCUGGUCUGAGAGGACGACCAGCCACACUGGAACUGAGACACGGUCCAGACUCCUACGGGAGGCAGCAGUGGGGAAUUUUGGACAAUGGGCGCAAGCCUGAUCCAGCAAUGCCGCGUGCAGGAUGAAGGCCUUCGGGUUGUAAACUGCUUUUGUACGGAACGAAACGGUGAGCUCUAAUACAGUUUGCUAAUGCCGGUACCGUAAGAAUAAGCACCGGCUAACUACGUGCCAGCCGCCGCAGUAACAC
rnacentral:rRNA from 1 species